rnacentral:rRNA from 1 species
AGUGAGGAAUCUUCCACAAUGGACGAAAGUCUGAUGGAGCGACACCGCGUGAAGGAUGAAGGUCUAACGAUUGUAAACUUCUUUUCUGAGGGAGCAUAAUGAGAGUACCUCAGGAAUAAGGGACGGCUAAUCACGUGCCAGCAGCCGCGGUAAUACGUGAGUCCCGAGCAUUACCCGGAAUUACUGGGUGUAAAGCGUUUGUAGGCGGAUAUAUAAGUCAGAUAUGAAAGACCGGAGCCCAACUUCGAGUUUGUGUUUGAAACUAUAUAUCUAGAAUCAGGAAGAGGUAAGCGGAAUUCUAAGUGUAGGGGUGCAAUCCGUAGAUACUUAGAAGAACACCAAAAGCGAAGGCAGCUUACUGGGACUGUAUUGACGCUGAGAAACGAAAGCGUGGGGAGCGAAAAGGAUUAGAUNCCCUUGUAGUCCACGCCCUAAACGAUGAUAACUAAGUGUUGGAGUUUACUUCAGUGCUGUAGCUAACGCGUUAAGUUAUCCACCUGAGGAGUACGGUCGCAAGAUUA